CCUACGGGAGGCAGCAGUGGGGAAUAUUGCACAAUGGGGGAAACCCUGAUGCAGCGACGCCGCGUGAGUGAAGAAGGACUUCGGUAUGGAAAGCUCUAUCUGUAGGGAAGAAAAUGACGGUACCUGAGUAAUAAGCCCCGGCUAACUACGUGCCAGCAGCCGCGGUAAUACGUAGGGGGCAAGCGUUAUCCGGAUUUACUGGGUGUAAAGGGAGCGUAGACGGGAGCACAAGUCUGGAGUGAAAUGCCGGGGCUUAACCCCGGAACUGCUUUGGAAACUGUGCAGCUUGAGUGCAGGAGAGGUAAGUGGAAUUCCUAGUGUAGCGGUGAAAUGCGUAGAUAUUAGGAGGAACACCAGUGGCGAAGGCAGCUUACUGGACUGUAACUGACGUUGAGGCUCGAAAGCGUGGGGAGCAAACAGGAUUAGAUACCCCAGUAGUC
rnacentral:rRNA from 1 species